AUUGAACGCUGGCGGCAGGCCUAACACAUGCAAGUCGAGCGGAGCGGCGGACGGGUGAGUAAUGCCUAGGAAUCUGCCUGGUAGUGGGGGAUAACGUCCGGAAACGGGCGCUAAUCCCGCAUACUAUCAGAUGAGCCUAGGUCGGAUUAGCUAGUUGGUGGGGUAAAAGCCUACCAAGGCGACGAUCCGUAACUUGUCUGAGAGGAUGAUCAGUCACACUGGAAGUGAGAAACGGUCCAGACUCCUACGGGAGGCAGCAGUGGGGAAUAUUGGAAAAUGGGCGAAAGCCUGAUCCAGCCAUGCGGCGGGUGUGAAGAAGGUCUUCGGAUUGUAAAGAAAUUUAAGUAGGGAGGCGUUACCAACAGAAUAAGCACCGGAUAACUUCGUGCCAGCAGACGCGGUAAUAG
rnacentral:rRNA from 1 species